ACGUCGUGAGACAGUUCGGUCCCUAUCCGUCGCAGGCGCAGGAGAUUUGAGAGGAUCUGUCCCUAGUACGAGAGGACCGGGAUGGACGUACCUAUGGUGUGCCAGUUGUCCUGCCAAGGGCACGGCUGGUUAGCUACGUACGGACAGGAUAAGCGCUGAAGGCAUCUAAGUGCGAAGCCCACCUCGAGAUGAGAUCUCCCACCGGGUAAACCGGGUAAGGACCCUGGUAGAACACCAGGUUGAUAGGCCGGAAGUGUAAGCGCAGCAAUGUGUUCAGCGGACCGGUACUAAUAGUCCGAGGGCUUGAUAUU
rnacentral:rRNA from 1 species